AGUGAACGCUGGCGGUAGGCCUAACACAUGCAAGUCGAACGGCAGCACAGUAAGAGCUUGCUCUUACGGGUGGCGAGUGGCGGACGGGUGAGGAAUACAUCGGAAUCUACUUUUUCGUGGGGGAUAACGUAGGGAAACUUACGCUAAUACCGCAUACGACCUACGGGUGAAAGCAGGGGAUCUUCGGACCUUGCGCGAUUGAAUGAGCCGAUGUCGGAUUAGCUAGUUGGCGGGGUAAAGGCCCACCAAGGCGACGAUCCGUAGCUGGUCUGAGAGGAUGAUCGGCCACACUGGAACUGAGACACGGUCCAGACUCCUACGGGAGGCAGCAGUAGGGAAUAUUGGGCAAUGGGCGCAAGCCUGAUCCAGCCAUACCGCGUGGGUGAAGAAGGCCUUCGGGUUGUAAAGCCCUUUUGUUAGGAAAGAAAAGCAGCAUGUUAAUACCCCGCUGUUCUGACGGUACCCAAAGAAUAAGCACCGGCUAACUUCGUG
rnacentral:rRNA from 1 species